UCGACGCGCGCCGUUGUCCGGUCGGUCGGUCGGUCAGAAGCUGUUCUCCGAUCCCCCAUUGACAACACUGCCUCCCUCAGGCAGCAGCACUGCUCCUCUCACAGCGCUCCUGACAACCGGACCAUGUGAAGUAGAAAAGGCUCGGGUGCCUGCAGGAAUGAAAUGCACAUCAAUGAGAAAUUUGGUAUAUAAGGAGCAGAUGAAGCUUUGUUUGGUGAGCAGAUUACUCCCAGUGAUCAAUGUAUUUAAUGCUCUUAAAUAAAGUCUUGAUUGCCUUA